rnacentral:rRNA from 1 species
GACGAACGCUGGCGGCGUGCUUAACACAUGCAAGUCGAGCGGUAAGGCCCUUUCGGGGGUACACGAGCGGCGAACGGGUGAGUAACACGUGGGUGACCUGCCCUCAGCUCUGGGAUAAGCCUGGGAAACCGGGUCUAAUACCGGAUAUGACUCCAUGACGCAUGUUGUGGGGUGGAAAGCCUUGUGCGGCUGAGGAUGGGCCCGCGGCCUAUCAGCUUGUUGGUGGGGUGAUGGCCUACCAAGGCGACGACGGGUAGCCGGCCUGAGAGGGCGACCGGCCACACUGGGACUGAGACACGGCCCAGACUCCUACGGGAGGCAGCAGUGGGGAAUCUUGCGCAAUGGGCGAAAGCCUGACGCAGCGACGCCGCGUGAGGGAUGACGGCCUGUGUAA